rnacentral:rRNA from 1 species
GUGGGGAAUAUUGCACAAUGGGCGAAAGCCUGAUGCAGCAACGCCGCGUGAGGGACGACGGCCUUCGGGUUGUAAACCUCUUUUAGUAGGGAAGAAGCGAAAGUGACGGUACCUGCAGAAAAAGCACCGGCUAACUACGUGCCAGCAGCCGCGGUAAUACGUAGGGUGCAAGCGUUAUCCGGAAUUAUUGGGCGUAAAGAGCUCGUAGGCGGUCUGUCGCGUCUGCUGUGAAAACUGGAGGCUCAACCUCCAGCCUGCAGUGGGUACGGGCAGACUAGAGUGCGGUAGGGGAGAUUGGAAUUCCUGGUGUAGCGGUGGAAUGCGCAGAUAUCAGGAGGAACACCGAUGGCGAAGGCAGAUCUCUGGGCCGUAACUGACGCUGAGGAGCGAAAGCGUGGGGAGCAAACAGGAUUAGAUACCCGUGUAGUCC